rnacentral:lncRNA from 1 species
UUUUCUUAUUGUCGCUAAUCAAAAAAUAGAGCCCACUGCAUGCGACCAACAGGAAAAGCUUUCACAGCGCGAAGACGUACUUGUAGGACUUCUCUUGUCACUGAAGAACAUUGUUCGGAUACUAAAAAAGUGAUAAACAAAAAAAACGAUGCAGCAGAUACUGUUGGCAGGAAAUCACCCACUACUUAACUCCGUAGCUAGACUCACUAUGCAAUAGGAAAGAGAAAGCAACAGUCCUUUGGAAAGUAUCGCUCUGAUACCAUGUUGAAGGGACAUAAUCAUGUGGAUGCACACAGAACAAUGUGGGGAACAAACUCAGUUCUUGGUAAAAACGGAGGAUACGAACAGAUAAUAAGCCUGACGAAGAGGGCUAAUUUAAGAAAUCUAUGUGCCAGUUACAGAAUCAACUGGUGGAACUUUCUACAUCAUCCACCUUCAUGUGUAACUCGAUCAACAGAUCCAUG